GCCGGGGUAGCCUAGCCUGGAAUGGGCGCCAGACUCAUAACCCAGAAGUCGCGGGCUCGAAACAAACACAAAGCGAGAAUCCCGCCCCCGGCACCA
rnacentral:tRNA from 1 species